AACGAACGCUGGCGGCAUGCCUAACACAUGCAAGUCGAACGAGACCUUCGGGUCUAGUGGCGCACGGGUGCGUAACGCGUGGGAACCUGCCCUUAGGUUCGGAAUAACUCCCCGAAAGGGGUGCUAAUACCGGAUAAUGUCAUCGGACCAAAGAUUUAUCGCCUUUGGAUGGGCCCGCGUUGGAUUAGCUAGUUGGUAGGGUAAAAGCCUACCAAGGCGACGAUCCAUAGCUGGUCUGAGAGGAUGAUCAGCCACACUGGGACUGAGACACGGCCCAGACUCCUACGGGAGGCAGCAGUGGGGUAUAUUGGACAAUGGGCGAAAGCCUGAUCCAGCAAUGCCGCGUGAGUGAUGAAGGCCUUAGGGUUGUAAAGCUCUUUUACCCGGGAUGAUAAUGACAGUACCGGGAGAAUAAGCGCCGGCUAACUCCGUG
rnacentral:rRNA from 1 species